rnacentral:rRNA from 1 species
CUUAUGUCUUGUAUUGGAAUGAUGGGAAUUUAAACCUCUUCCAGAGUAACAAUUGGAGGGCAAGUCUGGUGCCAGCAGCCGCGGUAAUUCCAGCUCCAAUAGCGUAUAUUAAAAUUGUUGCAGUUAAAAAGCUCGUAGUUGAAUUUCUGCUGCAUUGCAUUUUCUCCUAUACGAGUUUUUGCAUUGUGGCUUAUUUCGGUUAUAAAAUUUAUUUUUAUUUCCGGAUGUUUACUUUGAGAAAAUUAGAGUGCUCAAAGCAGGCUUUUGCCUUGAAUAGAUAAGCAUGAAAUAAUAAAGUAGGACUUUGGUUCUAUUUUGUUGGUUUUAGGUCCUGAGUAAUGC